rnacentral:lncRNA from 1 species
UGGAUCGAGCUCAGGGGCGACCAAGAAGGGUCAAGCCCUAAUCAACACAAUUUCAUCAAAUUGAAGGGGCAAAUCAAGUCCAAAUCAAAAUCCGAGUAUGAAUUAGUGAUCUCCAUUGAAAAAGGAGUCAUGAGUUUGACUCUGACAAGCUAGGUAGGAGCUUGGAAAUGAACGGGUCAAAUGGAUAGAAUUCAAGUAUGAAGCUCGCAAGGAUGCAAGGUACACCUUGGAUGCCGGAAGACGAUCAAGCUCAACGAAGGACCGAACACGAUAUAGAUACACGCUUCGGCACAUUGCCACGUUGUAAAUUUUAACAACGAACUCAAUUACGUUUGUUGGAUAACUUAUGAUUUGUAAAAGAUUUAAUAAACCCGCAUUUUGUACAGUAUGUGUGGUCUUAACUACACAUCUAAUUGUGGUAUUUUCAUGUAAAAUUGUAAUUUAGUAACUAGCGUGUUACAAGUUGGUAAUCAGAGCUCAUGGUUAAAGAGUAAGGUGUGUUCGGUUCGAGGCUUGAUCGCAAAUCCGGUAAGUGCAUGUAUGCUAAUGGUCUAGCGUAUUAAAGUGUUGUAGACAACACAUAGGGUUACCGUGUAAAACACGUUACCCCAAUUAAAUGAUUGAUAUAGUUGACAAAAAUACGCGCGUUGACGUGUAUAGUAGAAAAAGCCUUGUACUAUAAUACAGGCGAUUAUUGAAGUUGAUAUUACUAACUUUUGUGAAUAUCUUGAUUGAUGGACACUUGCAUUUAAAGAUGACAAGAGUUGAACAAAUUAAGGAUAUGAUAGAGGAACGGUCCGAAGUAUGACGAUAGGAGCAUGCUCACUAAGGACUAAAUCGCGUAACGACCGCGAACAAGGUUAAUGGCAAGAAACGCCCGUCGGGGCAAGCAUUACCAGGUGCGUGUUUUUAAAUAUAAUCGCACAAAUAGCAAUAUGCAACAAACGAGUAGAAAUUGAAAGUUGCAUAUGUAGAUUAAAAACUUGGAAAAACCCGAAUAGAAAAUGUAUUCGGGAUAUUGUUUCCAAGAGAAACAAAUAGAGGCGUUACUUACAUAGGGCGUGAUGUGAAAACUAUAAAAAGGUCAUGUGUGUCAUAUGUUAAUCGCUUACUCUGGCCAAGUAAGUAGUGGCUUAUGAUACCAUGAACUUCUUAUGGCGGACACGUUUACAUCCGAUGUAGUAAGGGCAGGGUGAAUGGGACUAAUUAAAAAGUACCCAAAUGAAUCAGAUAAGCAAAAUAUUUGAUAAUAAUGUAAAUGCACAACCAAGUGACGGGAGCGUAUUACAUUAGGAUAAUGAGCCCGGGUGAAGGGACAAACAAGCAUGUAAAAUGAUUUAGACAAGUAUUGGGAGGGAGUGUACUUACACUCGAACCCAGAAAACACAAGCAUGUAAAAUGAUUUAGACGAGUAUUGGGAAGGAGUGUACUUACACUCGAACCCAGAAAACACAAGCAUGUAAAAUGAUUUAGACGAGUAUUGGGAAGGAGUGUACUUACACUCGAACCCAUAAAACACAAGCAUGUAAAAUGAUUUAGACAAGUAUUGGGAGGGAGUGUACUUACACUCGAACCCAGAAAACACAAGCAUGUAAAAUGAUUUAGACAAGUAUUGGGAGGGAGUGUACUUACACUCGAACCCAGAAAACGCAAACAUGAAAAAUGAUUUAGACAAGCAAUGGGAGGGAGUGUACUUGCACUCGAACCCGGAAAAUGCAAAUAUGUCCCUUAACGGGUCAUUUUUGUAAAACGUCGAACUUAAAGACAAAGUCAGAAUAUAAAAAUGAAGCGAGGUCUUAAUGCAUACCGGGAGGAUUGCAAUAAUAACGACUUUGGUAAAACACCCGGUUGAUGGGUAAGAAUUAAACACAUGCGUAAACCGAGAAACGAGAACAUGAAUUUAAAGUCAAAAGACUCGGAUUAUGAGUUAUGACUAAAAGACCAUAAAAAUUUCGUAAACAGAAAUUCUGAUCAUUAUAUUCAACUAUUUUGAGAUUGAACGGGUUGAAUAAAGUAUAAUGCUUGAAGGCGUAAGUAAGCGCAAGCCGGAUAACGGUAAGCUUGAGACAAAUGAGUUUCAAACGUAAAAAGAGUGCUUUGACACCAAAUAUAUAUUUUAAUAAGACACGAGUAAAAAGAGUGAUCUACGGGAUCAACAUAACCUUUAGGGUUAUAAACAAAUGAGAACAAAUGAGAGAUAUACGGACUAAAACGACCCACGGGUCAUGAUUAGAAAGAAGUUACAAGGACUUCGCCUUAAAGAGGUGAAUGUCUAAUAAAAAAUAGCCCAUAAGGCUAAGUGAUAAAACCUACGGGUUAGAUGGAAUAAAGCGAGGAAAUCAGUUAAGAAUCCCCGCAUAAAAACUAAGACUGUAAAGGAUUAAAUUACGGACUGUCAAUAUCCCAGUAUAGAUGAUUGACACAAGUUAAAGAAAAGAUCCUAAAACUAAAACUUCGGUUUUAGUAAGAAAUAAUGUUUUUACAAACAUAAAUUCUGAUAGGAAUUUAAAUAGUAAGCAUGAAAGAUACAAGUCUUGACACUGAUAGGCGCAAGAUGAUAUAUUCGAAAAGUGAUAUUCUCAAAAAUGAAAGGUUGAUAUAAAUUAAACAUGAUGUAACACAAUCACGGUCAAGAAAUGUAAUGUGAAGUAGAAUCACAAUAUAACCAAGCAAGCGGUAAAAAAGAACUGGACAAAUAAGUCUAGUUAAUGAAACCGGUUAAAGUCAGCAAUUUAAAGUUAAGAAAUUUGGUUCGCUUGUAAACGGUAAAUUCGGUAUAACUAAACCGAAUAAGUAAAUUU